UGCGUAGGCGGAAUGAUAAGUUAGUGGUGAAAGCCCCCGGCUCAACCGGGGAACUGCCAUUAAUACUGUCAUUCUUGAGUAUAGUUGAAGUGGGCGGAAUGUAUCAUGUAGCGGUGAAAUGCUUAGAUAUGAUACAGAACACCGAUAGCGUAGGCAGCUUGCUAAACUAUAACUGACGCUCAGGCACGAAAGCGUGGGGAGCGAACAGGGUUAGAUACCCUGGUAGUCC
rnacentral:rRNA from 1 species